rnacentral:lncRNA from 1 species
CCACCCUGGGAGAGCCUAUGGGCCAUAACAACCAGUUGACCAAUCAACACAGGGCAAACCCUCCAAGCCUGGAGGCACACCAAUCCUGAGCCUGUGCAUACCCCUAGACUUUCCCCUUAGAAUGCUGCCCUAUAAAGAUCUGUACACAGCAGCUUCAAACUGUCUUUGCUAGCCAUCCGCCAUGGCGGGUGGGUGAAAGACCCAAGCAAACAUGGGGUUAGCUCGUUUAAAAAACAAAACAAAACAAUAAAGCCUCAUGCAGUUUGCAGCAAGCUCUCGAAUCCACCUGGUGAUUGGGGUGACCUCAGUUGUUGCCUGGGACCCUGGAUACCUGAGUUUUCCGGGGGGUCUUACAUUUCGGGGCUCGUCCUGGAUUUGCAACCACCCCUCACCUGAGUGGAGUCGAUCUUGGGGUCCCUCGAGUCUCGGGAAGAGACAAGAGCUCUGGUCUCUGGAGGAGACAGAGUGUGAUCAGCAGACAUGCUAGGAGAUCACCGACUGCCACCCUGGAAGACGUUCCAGGAAGUCUGUGGGAACCUCAGGGGCACUUGGGAGAUUGCCAUCUGGGAGCCGGUGAGGGUACGGUAGUUCUCCUGGAUUGGGGAAGUUAUACGCCCUCCUGGCUGUCUGUAUUUCUGGAGUGGUUUUGUCUGUCUAGGUGGAGACAGACAUCUGAUAGUUUUUGUCUGUGUGUCUUGGGUUUGUUUUUGUCUUAUUUGUGACUUUGAUGAUAGGACCGACCAUAACUAACCCCCCUCAGUCUGACUUUUGACCACUGGACGGACGUUAAGGACCAUAGUUAGUCAGUUAAAGUUACGACACCCCCUUUCGCUGAGUCACAUGGCACCACACUAGGUAACUUUAUUUUCCAGUCUUUGUUUCUGUAUGGUUUCUGUACAAGAAUUAUUUAGGGCAGAGGUUCAGAUGACAGCUUCUGCAGUCUGUAGGAGCGGGACCUGGUAGGAUCAAGUUGCUUGCUCCAUCUGUAAGGGGACCCAAGCAGGUCUCCCAAUCUGUAGGACAGGGACUUACUGGGAGCAAGUUGUCUGGUCCAUCUGUAAGAGGACCCAAGCAGGUCUCCCAAUCUGUAGGACAGGGACUUGCUGGGAGCAAGUCAUCUGAAAUUCCGAAUAGGACCCUGGUCUGUGUUACUGUACUGUCUGUCCACGUUUCACAUUUGUGUUGUGUGUUUGUUAAGCAUCUCUUUCUGUCCCUACUGCCCACACACGUGGUAUGCAUGGGUCAGGGGUCUUUUCUUGUUGCCCUGAGCACGUGGCUCGGGGCAGGAGUUCUGCCAUGUGUCACGGAUUAGAAUGUGUUGUGUUGGAGUCCCCUGAGACUGCUUCUCUGAACUUGAACUGCUGCUGUGGCCCUUACAGCUGAGCCUGGCCGACAUAGGUGAGUCUUUCCUAUCCCCACCUGCUGGUCUGUGAGGCAUGCAAAGUGGGGUUGUCUCUGCCCCAACUGCUGUCCUGCCAUGAGUCCUGGCUUGCCUCGGGAGUUUCCCUGCUCUGAGGGAACAUUGCUGCAAGGCUGCCAUCUGCCUAGCUGCCUGGCCUUCUUUGUGCUCCACGCACGUGGUAUGCAGGGGGACUGCAGGGAUCUUUUUCCCACUCCUGCUUUGGCCGAGGGUCUGGGAUUACUAGCAGCAACCUCCCAGAUCUCUUCCCUGAGCACAUGGAGCUCAGGCAGGUGAACCAUCUAUCCUGAUCUGGAUGUUCUAAAAAAAAAAAUCGUCCUUAAAGUUAUUAAAAAAAAAAAAAAAACCUUAAGAAGGACUUUGAUAAGAGUAUAUGUUGACCAAGAAAUGAGAGAAAAUGUAGGAGACUAAAGUAAUAGAGAGAGAAAGGAAGAAAGAAAUUUGUCUAAGAAUGUCUAUAGGAAGUUAUAGAGGGUUAAAGCAAGUCGUAGAAGGUCAGAGAAAAGUUGUCAAAGGUCAGAGAAAAGGUUGUUAUAAGUCAGAGAAAAGUGUAACUGUAAACUGUUAUGGUUUCUCAUGUCUACAAAUAGUAAAUUUUAAAAUUGGUAAUAUAAGUUAAAAUUUUAACCAUAUCAAGUUAAUUCAGUUUUAAAAGUUUUGUUUAUUUCUCAAGUAAAUUAUGUAUACUUGUUUUAAAAUGUUCUAUUGCCUGGCAUAACCUAAGUUUUGUUACAUGGCUAACUGGUAGCCAUUUUGCUGAAGUUGAAAAAAGAUACUUAAAUUGCCAUCUUGACUAAAGAUGAUUGCAUGGAAAUUAGAGGUACUAUCUUAGAAACAAGUUUUUCAAUUAAGAUUUAAAAUGUUAAAACUUCUAUAUAUUAUAGAAAGACUUUUAAGGGAAUUUAAAUUUCUUUUUAAAACCAGUUUUUUUUUUUAAAAAAAACAUUGACUUUCUAUUUCUUUAUUUAUUUAUUAUGUAUACAACAUUCUGCUUCCAUGUAUAUCUGCACACCAGAAGAGGGCACCAGAUCUCAUAAUGGAUGGCUGUGAGCCACCGUGUGGUUGCUGGGAAUUGAACUCAGGACCUCUGGAAGAGCAGUCAGUGCUCUUAACCUCUGAGCCAUCUCUCCAGCCCUUAAAACCAGUUUUUUAAAUGUUUGUUUUUAUUAAUGUUUGUACUUAAAGAGCUUCAAUUUAGAAUUAUUUUUAAGCAACGCCUGACAAUGUAAAGUACCUGUUUUAUAAAAGAUGCUAAUCUAUUAUAAGAUGUUACAGUUUAUGUUUUCAGAAGUUAAGUUUAGGGCAUUGGUGGCACACACCUUUAAGUUUAGGGCAUUGGUGGCACAUGCCUUUAAUCCCAGCACUCAGGAGGCAGAGGCAGAUGGAUCUUUGUGAGUUCAAGGCCAGCCUGGUCACAGAUCGAAUUCCAUGACAGGCUCCAAAGUCACAGAAAAACUCUGUCUCAGAAAGAAAUGAAGUUUAAGCAAACAGCUAAAAUAUGUACAUGUAGCUACUGUUUAAGGAAUAUAAGGUAGCUCUAUGCAGUUUUAAGUUCAGCUGUGCUAAGUUUCAAACAUUUUAGUAAGUUAAAACCAGUUACAGUCAGACUGAAAAUUAAUUACAGAAGUAAGACAUUACCUAGCCACCUGUGUGCUUAAUGUGUGCUUAAGGAAAGUAACUAAAAUAGACAAACAGACCUCUAAUGUUUCAGAGACCUGCAGAGUAUGUCAUUUAAAUUGUUAUUUUAAAAGUUUAUAAUAUCAGACAGACUGCCAGAUCCUGACAGUGACCCAAAGUCUCCAAAGAAGAUUAUGAGGCACCCCAGUUCCUGCACCUGGAUGAUGGUGACGCUCAUCAGUGAUUGAGAUGCUCAGAUGUGAUACUUGUUGCCUGUCACGACCUGGCCGAGACUGUGGACAAAGCUGCUGGACACUGGAAAAUUGAUUGUACCCCCUUUGCCUAGACAAAACAAGGUCAGUCUUUUCCAUGUCCCUCUUCCACAGAGAGGAAAAAAAAACCUCUUACCUUAUAGGCCUGGCAAAGAUUGCUGUUCUUUGAGACAUCUGCCUCCAGCGGUAAUGGAGAAACUUGGGUGUGGCUAACUGUAUAUGGUCUGGCUUCUAACUGGCUUCUGUUACUUUUUAGUAGAUUCAAAUAAAAUAUACCCUUCUCAGAUCUCUGAAAUAUUAAUGGUUGUCAGCUUGACAGUAUCAGGCAGUCAGAUCCACUAUAGACUAGUCAGUAUGUUAGCUGAUAAAGAAAUGACUAUCUACUGUUCAGGUACAAGUUCAAGGUUUUUAGGUUUAUUUUGGUUGUCAUCUAAAUAUAAACUUAAAGGGCUUUUCAUCAGGCCAAAGGCACCUCUGUCCAAUCCAUACCUGGCUCUCUGGACAGAAGAAAAAUGGACAUGCUUCUAGCCCAUAUCUGUCGUAUUGCUAGGACUCAAAGUUAUAAAUAUGUUCCUGCUGUUUGAACAGAUACCCAGAUAUCUGCUUUUUCUGCACUGUGGGCUUCAGUAAAUAAGUUUUAACUUCUGUUCCUAGUUUAAACAUGUCUUAAACAGGUUUCUGCUUCUGGCAGACAUCUGAGUAUCAGUUGCUGACUACAGGCUGUUCUAAGUAGACUUCGAGCCCUGGACUUGCUGUGGAUAUGAACCAGUUCAGCUGAUAAAGACAUCCCCUGUCUCUGCAACAGAAUCUGCCAAUCAGAAGCUCCUGAUGGAUUCCCCAUUGCCUAAAUUCCUUUUUUGCUUUUGACUAGCAUUUCAACCUUCUGGGGUCCCUAACUUCGUCCCAAAGUCAGCAGGAAGUAGCUUGGGAAAGAAUUCACCACCCAUUUUCCCUGGUUAAAAUGCUAAAUCAGAAGGGACUCCCUUGCAUGGGGAUGCCAAUAUCUCUCACUCCCUGAUGGGGGCGCUAGAGAGACAGCAAUUCCAUGAUUGGAAUUUCCAAAAAAGAAAAUGGGGGAAUGAAGGGACCAGCUCCCCAUUUCGGCAGCCACGACAGUAACACGUGCUUGCCAUAACCUUGCCUGGGUCACUUAGAGGUCAGAUGCCUGCCUUGUGGCAAGGAACCAAUCAGAAGUUAGCUGGUGGUGCUAUGCUUUAUGGCUCUGGAUGUGCUUUACAGACAAGCGCACAGCAAUGAUGCACAGAGCAUAACAACCACCCUGGGAGAGCCUAUGGGCCAUAACAACCAGUUGACCAAUCAACACAGGGCAAACCCUCCAAGCCUGGAGGCACACCAAUCCUGAGCCUGUGCAUACCCCUAGACUUUCCCCUUAGAAUGCUGCCCUAUAAAGAUCUGUACACAGCAGCUUCGAACUGUCUUUGCUAGCCAUCCGCCAUGGGUGGGUGAAAGACCCGAGCAAACAUGGGGUUAGCUCGUUUAAAAAACAAAACAAAACAAUAAAGCCUCAUGCAGUUUGCAGCAAGUUCUCGAAUCCACCUGGUGAUUGGGGUGACCUCGGUUGUUGCCUGGGACCCCGGAUACCUGAGUUUUCCGGGGGUCUUACAGAGUUAACUCCAUCCUCUCCCGUUUACCUUGCUCUUAUAGGCAGCAUCCCUUUUUCUCUGUGAGGUGGCAUGCUUCCAGUAGUUCAAACAUUGAACACACUGUAUGCUGACUGAAAGGUGAGGUGUUCUGGGGACUGAGACACAGACCUUUUUCUAACAGAGACAGGUUUCUCUGUGUAGCUUUGUAGCCUGUCCUGGAACUCAAUCUGUAGCCCAGGCUGACCUCAAACUCACAGAGAUUCAUCUGCCUCUGCCUCCUGAGUGCUGGGCAUGGGCCACCAAUGCCCGGUGGAUAUGGAUAUUUUUUAUGGGCUGUGAUUCAGCCUUCUAGGGCUGUAUUAACUUGGAACUUCAUUCCUGAGCAAGGAGUUAAAGGAAAAGUUACAAACCAUUUGCUCCUAAAAUGUAAAACUAUCAGUAGAGUUCAUACCUUCCCCUUCCUAAACUGUCCUGAGGGAAUAGGGCCAUUGUUUGAAUUCUGAGGCAGAGCCACAGGGCUUCACCCCUUCCUGGUUCUGUGACCUUUACUGAGAAGCUUAACCACUCUAAGUAGUUACUUCCUCAUUCGUGAAAUGAGAUUCACAGCACUGUGACAUGAGCUGGUAUCUCCUGCUAGACCCAACUGAAGUUUCCUCAACUUCAGUCCCAACACUUGGGAGGCAGGCAGAUGUCUGUGAGUUUGAGGCCAGCCUGGUCUACAAAGUGAGUUCUAAGACAGUCAGGGCUUCACAGUGUGACCCUGUCGCAAAAAUACAGAACAAAACAAAGAACCAGAACGCACAUAGGGCAGGCUGCAAACACUACUGCACCUAGAUCUAGCCAAGGGGCAGGAAAGGCUUCCUGGAGGAAGUGACGGGGUAGGAAGAGUUGGGGCUUGUGGUGAUGGUGAAAUUACCUGUUGCCAAACUGCAAUCUAACACAUGUACCAAGCAAUGCUUCAUAUUAACACCUAGGUGAGUGAGAGCUGAGCACUUAGUAACAUUGUGUGGGGUUACAUGCAUAUGCAAGUAUGUUUAUAUAUAUGUGGGGAUAUGCACAUGGGCAGGUAUGUUUGCACAUAUGUGGAGACCAGAAGUCGUAAUGUCUUCCUCCAUCACUUGUCACCUUGUUUUCUGAGAAAGGGUCUGUUACAGAAUUCUGCUAGGCUAAUGAACUCCCUGGAUUCUUUUGUCUACUCCCUCAACCAUGAGUCUGGGGUUACAGACGCAUGUUCCUACACCCAGUUUUUAUGUGAGUGCUGGGAUCCAAACCCAGGUCCUCAUGCUUGCACAGUAGGCACGGUACAAACUGACCUAUCUCCCUAGCCCCCAGCACUGCUUUUAGUAGUUAUGAAACUUGCCAGGCAUGGUGGCUCAUGCUUGUAAACCUGGCACUUAGGUAGAAGAGGCAGGAAGAUCAUGAUUUCAAGGCUAGGCUGGGUCAUUUAGUGAAACUUUGCUGUAGUCAAACAUGAUUAAAUAAGUUCUAAUUAAAAAAAUAAUAAUACAGAAAGGAAAUCUGCAGGAUGCAAGGAGCCUCCAGAGUUCCUACUCCAGCUGACUGGUGCCCUCCAGGUUUCUUGGAAGUUGCUUGGACAGAGUCAUGAAGAGUGCUGGGAAAAAGCUGUUCUUUCACCUCCUCCCACAUGCUGUGCCCAUGCUGGAAGGGUUUAGGAGAAUCAAACAUUUAGAGUUCUUCUCCCUGAAGCCUCUCCCACUCCUGGGGCUUCUUUCAGACUUUUCCUCAAUAAAUCUAUGUUCAAGCUGGGCGUUGGUGGCACAUGCCUUUAAUCCCAGCACUCGGGAGGCAGAGGCAGGAGGAUCU